rnacentral:tRNA from 1 species
CAGGGGUUAGUUUAUUUAAAAUAUCGGUUUUGGGGACCGGUGAUAGAAGAUUUUCUACUCCUGA